AGUGAACGCUGGCGGUAGGCCUAACACAUGCAAGUCGAACGGCAGCACAGUAAGAGCUUGCUCUUACGGGUGGCGAGUGGCGGACGUGUGAGGAAUACAUCGGAAUCUACUUUUUCGUGGGGGAUAACGUAGGGAAACUUACGCUAAUACCGCAUACGACCUACGGGUGAAAGCAGGGGAUCUUCGGACCUUGCGCGAUUGAAUGAGCCGAUGUCGGAUUAGCUAGUUGGCGGGGUGAAGGCCCACCAAGGCGACGAUCCGUAGCUGGUCUGAGAGGAUGAUCAGCCACACUGGAACUGAGACACGGUCCAGACUCCUACGGGAGGCAGCAGUGGGGAAUAUUGGACAAUGGGCGCAAGCCUGAUCCAGCCAUACCGCGUGGGUGAAGAAGGCCUUCGGGUUGUAAAGCCCUUUUGUUGGGAAAGAAAGGCAGCAGGUUAAUACCCCGCUGUUCUGACGGUACCCAAAGAAUAAGCACCGGCUAACUUCGUG
rnacentral:rRNA from 1 species